rnacentral:rRNA from 1 species
ACGCUGGCGGCGUGCCUAACACAUGCAAGUCGAACGGGGUAGAGAGCUUCGGUUUUCUACUUAGUGGCGAACGGGUGAGUAACGCGUGAGAAACCUGCCUUUCAGUGGGGGGACAACAGUUGGAAACGACUGCUAAUACCGCAUAAUGUUAUUUGGGGGGCAUCCCUGAAUAACCAAAGCUUUAUGUGCUGAAAGAUGGACCCGCGUCUGAUUAGCUAGUUGGUGAGGUAACGGCCCACCAAGGCGACGAUCAGUAGCCGGCCUGAGAGGGUGAACGGCCACAUUGGAACUGAGACACGGUCCAAACUCCUACGGGAGGCAGCAGGUGGGGAAUAUUGCACAAUGGGGGAAACCCUGAUGCAGCGACGCCGCGUGAGCGAAGAAGUAUUUCGGUAUGUAAAGCUCUAUCAGCAGGGAAGAUAAUGACGGUACCUGACUAAGAAGCCCCGGCUAACUACGUG